UACGGGGGGGGCAAGCGUUGUUCGGAAUUACUGGGCGUAAAGGGCUCGUAGGCGGCCAACUAAGUCAUACGUGAAAUCCCUCGGCUUAACCGGGGAACUGCGUCUGAUACUGGAUGGCUUGAGUUCGGGAGAGGGAUGCGGAAUUCCAGGUGUAGCGGUGAAAUGCGUAGAUAUCUGGAGGAACACCGGUGGCGAAGGCGGCAUCCUGGACCGAUACUGACGCUGAGGAGCGAAAGCCAGGGGAGCGAAACGGG
rnacentral:rRNA from 1 species